GUAGGGAAUAUUGGGCAAUGGAGGCAACUCUGACCCAGCCAUGCCGCGUGCAGGAUGACGGCCCUCUGGGUUGUAAACUGCUUUUAUACGGGAAGAAAAAAUACUACGUGUAGUAUACUGACGGUACCGUAAGAAUAAGGAUCGGCUAACUCCGUGCCAGCAGCCGCGGUAAUACGGAGGAUCCAAGCGUUGUCCGGAUUUAUUGGGUUUAAAGGGUGCGUAGGCGGUUCUUUAAGUCAGUGGUGAAAGCCUGCAGCUUAACUGUAGAAUUGCCAUUGAAACUGAAGAUCUUGAAUGUGGAUAAAGUAGGCGGAAUGUAUCAUGUAGCGGUGAAAUGCUUAGAUAUGAUACAGAACACCGAUAGCGAAGGCAGCUUGCUGAACCAUUAUUGACGCUGAGGCACGAAAGCGUGGGGAGCGAACAGGAUUAGAAACCCCAGUAGUCC
rnacentral:rRNA from 1 species